rnacentral:lncRNA from 1 species
GCUACAUGACGCGUCCAUGACGCAGAUGGUAUUCCGAUCACGGUGAACGAAGGCUGGUGCCAUGAUCGGCGAUUACUUGGGAGUAGAAGUAAAUGGAAAGGGAGACUCCGGAGGAGACGAGGGAAGGUAUGGAGAAGUAGAAGUAAACGGAAAGGUAGAAGCCGGAGGAGGUGAGGAAAGGUACGGGGAAGGGUUAGGAAGAAGACUGUGUCUUCAUAGAAAGAUGAACACGAGGGAGAGAGAAAUAGAGGUAGAUACGAGGAGGCCGCCAAAGGAGAACUAGCAUUCAAAGGAUGUGCAUGGGAGGGGACAGGUGGGAAAGGUGGUUGUUGUUAGAUGUAGUGAGGAAGAGGUGGGAUGCACAAUGAUGAUGGAAG